UAAGGAAUAUUGGUCAAUGGACGCAAGUCUGAACCAGCCAUGCCGCGUGAAGGAUGAAGGUCCUCUGGAUUGUAAACUUCUUUUAUCUGGGACGAAAACGGGAUUUUUAUCUCAAUUGACGGUACCAGAGGAAUAAGCACCGGCUAACUCCGUGCCAGCAGCCGCGGUAAUACGGAGGGUGCGAGCGUUAUCCGGAUUUACUGGGUUUAAAGGGUGCGUAGGUGGGCUUAUAAGUCAGUGGUGAAAUCUCCGAGCUUAACUUGGAAACUGCCGUUGAUACUAUAGGUCGUGAAGUAUCUGGAGGUAAGCGGAAUAUGUCAUGUAGCGGUGAAAUGCUUAGAUAUGACAUAGAACACCAAUUGCUAAGGCAGCUUACUACAUAUAAAUUGACGCUGAGGCACGAAAGCGUGGGGAUCAAACA
rnacentral:rRNA from 1 species